CCUACGGGUGGCUGCAGUAGGGAAUAUUGGUCAAUGGGGGCAACCCUGAACCAGCCAUUCCGCGUGCAGGAAUAAGGCCCUAUGGGUCGUAAACUGCUUUUGUAUGGGAAAAAAUCAUUCUACGUGUAGAGUGUUGAUGGUACCAUGAGAAUAAGGAUCGGCUAACUUCGUGCCAGCAGCCGCGGUAAUACGAAGGAUCCAAGCGUUGUCCGGAUUUACUGGGUUUAAAGGGUGCGUAGGUGGAAAUUUAAGUCAGUGGUGAAAGCUGGUAGCUU
rnacentral:rRNA from 1 species